GAAUAUUAAGUAACAAAAUGAAAAUGAUAUUUCGAUAAACAUGUUGUUGUCUUUGUAUUAAUUGUGUUCUCAUAAACCAUCAGAUUAGUAUGUACUGUACUGCAAUAAAAAAAACAUGAAUCAAUAUCAGGGAACUUGAAGUAAUUGAAAACCAAUUCCGUAUAUAUAGUUGGCUAUAAAAGGGCCGGACAUGUACAAACUUAAUUAGGGUUCUGAAGAAAUGUUCGAUUGCCUAUAAUUGCCUACAUCCACUUCAUUUUAACUCUGACAGAUAGUUGUCUCUGGCUGUCAUUAGUCUGUAGGUUUGGUUUAAAUUACUUCAAGUAAUUAGUUCCCUGAUAUUGAUUCAUGUUUUUUUUAUUGCAGUACAGUACAUACUAAUCUGAUGGUACUAGUUCAAAACCCAAACUGCACUCUAACUUUACUUUGCCUCAACCAAGUGUUAUGAAACUUAUACACAAUGCUUAUUAACACCAAACACUGAUCAAGUUUGGGUGUUGUCUCUUUUACCAUUCUCAUAUUAUGUUACUUUAUUAAUAAAAAAAAUUGAUAAAUUUGAGAUAUAUUUACAAGCAGGGACAUCUGUGUUUCAUUGACACAUUCUUGUUUUAUUUAUUACAUGUUUUAGUGUAUUAAAAGUAAUUAUACUACUUCCACCUUUCAAAAUUCUAACAAAGCUCUACCUCUUUAAUGGAUAAAUAAAUGAUACUAGUCAAGAACUCAACAGAUAUUUUUUUUUCAGGUUCUCUGGUCGUUCAUACUUGUUGGCCACACACAUGAAGAUAUUGAUCCUGCUUUCAGCUAAUAUCAGAAAAAUUAAGAACAAAGGAUGCUGAAACUGUGCAGUCACUGUUCAGGAUUAUUCCAGAUGUUUAAAAAGUGAAAUUAUAAUACAAUAUAUGUUACUGGUUAAUUCCUAUGAUUAGUAAUUUUAAACAACACACAGAGACUUUGCAUUAUUGUUUUACAAGAGCGACACCAAAAGAUGCAGUCAACAUUUAUCAUUUUUAUCAAAAUACACCCAGGACAAACCAUGGAUACACUUAGCUUGAAAUUUGGUGCUUUCUUACCAAAAUUGCCUGGACGUAAAAGAAAUGAAGAACCUAAAUUCAUGACAACAAUCAGGAGAUACCAGAAGAACUAGUAUAAAUGGUUAAAGAUGAAAGAAUGCAGAAUAAGGCAGGAUUGAAAGAAAGAAAGAACUAGUCAUCAGUAAAGAAACAGAUCAAUUUAUAUAACAUGUAAUAAUUCCAUCUGAAUAUAACAAACAUUGCACAUGUUAUGAAGAUUUGUUCACAUGUCUACUCUGAUUUGUAGUUAUGCAUUUGUAAUAUUAUAUAGUACAUGUAUUUUAUUUUAGAACAGUAUUUUUUUUUUUGCUGUGGAGAAGAUCAAAGAAAUUUAGAAAAAUAUAAUUAAAGAUAGUUUCUUCCAUUUUUUCUGUGACAAAAAAAAAUUGUGCAAAUUAGGACAAUGAAAUGAGGCUAUAUUAUUAAAUAUUUUUGAGUUUUAUUUUUUUUUACAUCCUAUUUUAAAAUUUCAUUGGCAUUUGAAGUAAUGAGUUGAAACCAGUUUUUAUCAAUCAUUUUGUUUUCAAGAUGUAUAAACAGUACAGUAGGUUAAGUCUUUGGGGUACAUUAGUUUACUAUGAUGUUAAGGUCAAAUAAACUUGAAACUUUGUACUUACAAGUGUUCAUUAUGAAGUCAUUUU